CGCGGCUACUUCAGGCCGGAGAAGUUCAUAGGGUGGUUAACGAAAUGUCAGCGGUGACUGAGCAGUUCAAGCAAAAUUGACAUCCGUGCGCUAGAUGCACCUGCUCUGGGACAUAAGGGAGGUAACGUGGCUUGCUCAUCCCUUUAUCCCUUUUGCUCUGGUCACUUCUGGUAUCUGCUGUAACUGCCACGAACAGCUGUCCCUCAGCCAUGCCACCCUGCAUUGGAGUCAGUAGGAGAGCCUCCAGCCAAGAAGGAAGAGGCACAGGACCCAUGUUUCAGGCUCAGGCGUGCUUGAAUCCACUAUUUCACUCCCCUGAGACUCUGUUUCUAAAUUUUGAGAGAAAACAAACAAACGAACAAAUAA